rnacentral:rRNA from 1 species
GAUGAACGCUAGCUACAGGCUUAACACAUGCAAGUCGCGGGGCCGCAUGGGGGUUGCUUGCCAUCGCCGAUGGCGACGGGCGCGCGGGUGAGUAACGCGUAUCCAACCUGCCCUACACCACGGGAUAACCCGGCGAGAGUCUGACUAAUACCGUAUGUUUUCCAUUGACGGCCCCCGAUUGGAACGCGGGUUUGGGCGGACAUGGAUGGGGAUGCGUCCGAUUAGCUGGACGGCGGGGUGACGGCCCACCCUGGCGACGAUCGGUAGGGGUUCUGAGAGGGAGGUCCCCCAGACUGGAACUGAGACACAGUCCAGACUGCUACGGGACGCAGCAGUGUGGAAUACUGAUCAAUGGGCGUAAGCCUGACACAGCCGAGUGACGUGCAGGAUGCCGGCCCUAGGGGUAGUAAGCUACUUUUGUGGGAGGAUAAAGUGGGCCACUAGUGAGUUUUUGCAGGUACCGAAUGAGUAAGGACCGGCUAAUUCCGUG